rnacentral:rRNA from 1 species
GACGAACGCUGGCGGCGUGCCUAAUACAUGCAAGUCGAGCGCAGGAAACUGACGGAACUCUUCGGAGGGAAGGCAGUGGAAUGAGCGGCGGACGGGUGAGUAACGCGUAAGGAACCUGCCUCAAGGAUUGGGAUAACUCCGAGAAAUCGGAGCUAAUACCGGAUAGUUCGACGGACCGCAUGGUCCGCUGAUGAAAGGCGCUUCGGCGUCACCUUGAGAUGGCCUUGCGGUGCAUUAGCUAGUUGGUGGGGUAACGGGCCACCAAGGCGACGAUGCAUAGCCUACCUGAGAGGGUGAUCGGCCACACUGGGACUGAGACACGGCCCAGACUCCUACGGGAGGCAGCAGUAGGGAAUCUUCCACAAUGGACGAAAGUCUGAUAGAGCAACGCCGCGUGAGUGAUGAAGGUUUUCGGAUCGUAAAACUCUGUUGUAAGGGAAGAACACGUACGAGAGGAAAUGCUCGUACCUUGACGGUACCUUACGAGAAAGCCACGGCUAACUACGUGCCAGCAGCCGCAGUAA